rnacentral:precursor_RNA from 12 species
CCUCUGGUUUGCUUAAUGGGAGUCAUCAAGUGUAACAGCAACUCCAUGUGGAUUGUGUGCCAAUUUCCAGUGGAGAUGCUGUUACUUUUGAUGGUUACCAACUCACUACAAUAGAAAG